UGGGGAAUAUUGGGCAAUGGGCGCAAGCCUGACCCAGCAACGCCGCGUGAAGGAAGAAGGCUCUCGGGUUGUAAACUUCUUUUAUCAGGGACGAAGCAAGUGACGGUACCUGAUGAAUAAGCCACGGCUAACUACGUGCCAGCAGCCGCGGUAAUACGUAGGUGGCAAGCGUUAUCCGGAUUUACUGGGUGUAAAGGGCGUGUAGGCGGGAAAGCAAGUCAGAUGUGAAAACCAUGGGCUCAACCUGUGGCCUGCAUUUGAAACUGUUUUUCUUGAGUACUGGAGAGGCAGACGGAAUUCCUAGUGUAGCGGUGAAAUGCGUAGAUAUUAGGAGGAACACCAGUGGCGAAGGCGGUCUGCUGGACAGCAACUGACGCUGAGGCGCGAAAGCGUGGGGAGCAAACAGG
rnacentral:rRNA from 1 species